GGUCCUACGGGACGCAGCAGUAGGGAAUUUACGUCAAUGGGCGCAAGCCUGAACGAGCAAUGCCGCGUGAACGAGGAAGGUCUUCGGAUCGUAAAGUUCUGUUGAAGGGGAAAAAGAGCGGAGAGAGGAAAUGAACUCCGAUUGAUAUUACCCUUUGAGGAAGUCACGGCUAACUACGUGCCAGCAGCCGCGGUAAUACGUAGGUGGCGAGCGUUAUCCGGAAUGAUUGGGCGUAAAGGGUGCGUAGGCGGCCUGCUAAGUCUGGCGUGAAAGGUACCGGCUCAACCGGUACAGGCUCUGGAAAC
rnacentral:rRNA from 1 species